CCUACGGGGGGCAGCAGUGGGGAAUAUUGGACAAUGGGCGAAAGCCUGAUCCAGCCAUGCCGCGUGUGUGAAGAAGGCCUUCGGGUUGUAAAGCACUUUCAGUGGGGAAGAAAGCCUUGGGGCUAAUACCCUCGAGGAAGGACAUCACCCACAGAAGAAGCACCGGCUAACUCCGUGCCAGCAGCCGCGGUAAUACGGAGGGUGCGAGCGUUAAUCGGAAUUACUGGGCGUAAAGCGCGCGUAGGCGGUCUGAUAAGCCGGUUGUGAAAGCCCCGGGCUCAACCUGGGAACGGCAUCCGGAACUGUCAGGCUAGAGUGCAGGAGAGGAAGGUAGAAUUCCCGGUGUAGCGGUGAAAUGCGUAGAGAUCGGGAGGAAUAACAGUGGCGAAGGCGGCCUUCUGGACUGACACUGACGCUGAGGUGCGAAAGCGUGGGUAGCAAACAGGAUUAGAUACCCUGGUAGUC
rnacentral:rRNA from 1 species